rnacentral:rRNA from 1 species
UGGCGAGUGGCGGACGGGUGAGGAAUACAUCGGAAUCUACUUUUUCGUGGGGGAUAACGUAGGGAAACUUACGCUAAUACCGCAUACGACCUACGGGUGAAAGCAGGGGACCUUCGGGCCUUGCGCUAUCAGAUGAGCCUAGGUCGGAUUAGCUAGUUGGUGAGGUAAUGGCUCACCAAGGCGACGAUCCGUAACUGGUCUGAGAGGAUGAUCAGUCACACUGGAACUGAGACACGGUCCAG